UACGUAGGGGGCAAGCGUUGUCCGGAAUCAUUGGGCGUAAAGCGCGUGUAGGCGGCUAGGCAAGUCUGCUCUGAAAGCCCGGGGCUCAACCCCGGGAGGCGGGUGGAUACUGUCUAGCUCGAGUCCGGAAGAGGAGUGUGGAAUUCCUGGUGUAGCGGUGAAAUGCGCAGAUAUCAGGGGGAACACCAAUGGCGAAGGCAGCACUCUGGGACGUGACUGACGCUGAGACGCGAAAGCGUGGGGAGCAAACAGG
rnacentral:rRNA from 1 species